GUUGUUGCAGAGGCUCAGUUCCUGGCGAGGCUGGCGCCCGUAGCCGACGAGUUCCAGGGGUUGCAGAGCGCGGCAGAAGACGUUCCUGGCUUAGAGCCAACAUGGUGGUGCACACCUGAAACCCCAGAACUCAGAGGUGAAAGCAGUUCAAGGCCACCCUGAUCUACACAAUGCGACCCUGGCUUGCCCCUCCCUGACAAAGCAAUCCCAAGUAUCUGCACCUGUUGAUCGCUUUCCAGCACUGCAAACUGUAGGUAACGCAACUCGUCUACGCCGCCAGCCUGUGACUGGAAGCAUCGCUCGGAGAGGGAACACCGAGCUGAGUCAAAAAGCUGCUUUGGUCAGAAUGGCGGGGAGAGGACGUGACGGCGACUGAAAGGAGUGGAGGGAGGGGACACUUCAGUUGGGAUGUAUUGUAUGAGAGAAGAGUUAAAUAAAAAAAAAA